CACAGGCAGGGAAUGGGGGUGGGAAGCAUGUGUGCCCAGGUUGCCCAUUUCUGGCUUGACUGUCUUCCAGGAACACCCUGCACAAGCAACAUGUCCUACGAGAUGCUUUCUUCCUCCUAGGAGGGAUCCCCUGAAGGCUCUCAGGCCCUGCUGGGCCCCCAAUGGGACACCUCGCCAGGGAUGGCCACCCCUCACCUGCACCCACCACUCCCAGAUGCCCCCGCAGAGGUGCAUUGAAAUUCUGGUAGCUCUGCUCUUCUCCCACUACUGCCCUCUGCUUCCCACCUCCAGCCUGGCUCCUUGCUGCCCCUGGUCUUCUUGGUGUCCCUGAUGCUGCCAGGCUCCCCGUUCCCACCCGGCCUCCGCACCUGCCCUGCCCUCCCCUCCCACGGCACCUCAGGCUCCCUCCCCUACUGGCCAUGGCAGGUUCUGCCUUCAUUUGUCACCCCCAACUGCUGCCCCAACCUAUGAGCCCCUUGCCCACCUGGGUCCAGCGCCCACAGCAGGGCUGGUGUGGGGUGGGGCUAUGCUGUCACCUCAACCCUCAUGGCCCACUUGGCUGGUGGCCCCUGCUCGUUCCCCGAGCUGUUCAUGCAUUCCCUCCUAAACUCAGGACCAGGGGUGAAGGAGGGGGAUGGUGGCCUGACAGAGCCCCAAGGCCAGGCGCCUACGGCUUUACCCUCCCUGUCACUCAGCCGGCAGAGGGCACUCACGGGUGCGGUCCUUGUUCCAAGCAUGGCAGCUGAUGGGCUCCACCAGGAAGCUGUGGUAGGCCAUGGCUGCUUGGUUCCUGUGCCCAAGAGAGGGGAGGGACCCUAUGUCAGCCCUACCCCUGCCCCAGACCAGACCCCAGUCAGCCUGGUGAGAGGGCAGCAGGGCCACCCUGGGCUCCAGACCCUGGCCUGGUGCACUGCUUCCUUCCACGGCUUCAGUUAACCUCAUGAAAUGAGAGCUCUCACGGAGGUCCCCGAGGCUCCAGGCAAUGAACAUAAAGGAUGGGGUGGGGAGUGCAAGAUGUGGGUGAAACUGCCACCGUGAAUGGGGUGUGCAGGGAUCUUGUGCCACCAAAUGCCUGCCCUUGUUCUGUGCGGCAAAGGCCUACUCCUCCGUAAAGACCUGAAGUGAAUGUCACUUCCUCAAACCCAUUCUGCCGGACUCAGCUCCAGGAGUCGCAGGCACUGGGCAGGGGCAGGAGGGGGCGGGCGGCAGCACCCAUUCCCCAGCUCUGGGACCCCAGGCACAGCAUGCACUCCCUCUCAGCCUUGAUUUCCACAUCUGCAAAAUGGGAACUCUGGGAACUCAGGAAUCCUGCCCCAGAGGUCUUAAGAAGGUUUUAUAAGAUAUAUAGUAGGUGUUCAUGAAACAGCAGCUCUUCGUCCACACCAGAUGGGGUGUGGCACUUAGCCACCACCCUACUGUUUAGGAGUCACCCUCCUCAGCCAGACCAGCAGCCCAUCCUGGAGCAGUGGGCCUCAGGCCUUCGCACUGGCCGUUACUUUGGCCUUUGAGUCUCUUCCCCCAGAUCCCUCCCUGCCCUUGCAGCUACCAUUCAAGUCUGUGCUCAAACGUCAUCCUCACAAGGAGGCCCUCCCUUACCUCGCUGCAGCCCCCACCCAGCAGCCCUGUUCCCAAUUGGAAUGAUCUCCACAAUCCCUACAGAAUGUCCCUUAUACUGAAGCAUUUCUUUUAUUUUUCUCUGCCGGCUGGGCUUAACAAGCUUGGUGGAGACAGACAAUUUUGACUAUCUGGUUCACAUUUCUUUCCCCUGUGCCUAAAUGCUUGGCAUAUACUAGGUGCUCCAUAGAUAUUUGAUGAACACAGUUGUUUACUGCCAUUAGUGCCCCACAGAGUAAGUUCUUUAUUAAAAAAUGAACAACAGCACCACCCAGCAUUUCCUUGCUUCCCAGCUCUAAGCAGGCAACGUAGUCUUGACUUUGGUGCUUAGAUGCCACAGCCCCAGGUGACAGAUGGGGAGUCUGGGGUUUGGCAAGCGGAAGCCACCUGCCCAGCAGCACACAUCCCCCAUGUGGGUGUCACCAGGAACGUGGCUGUCCGCCCCCCCCCCCCCACCAGACUGGUAGGUUUGCGUCCAUGGACUGGCACAGGAAGGUUGCUCCCCAGCUCUGGGCCUGAGCCCUUAACACCCUGGGAAGGCUGGCUGAUGGGGAGCCCUGCUGGAGCCCUGAGGUCUCUUCCUCCUUCUGCUGGGGUCUCUGCCAAGGCCACUCUGGGAGGGACAGCAUGGAGUUGGGCCCAGGCAUGAGGGACAUGCAGCGCAAUCCAUGGUACAGUGGAGGAGUGUGGGGCUCUGUGACCAACUUGCCCGAGGUCACACCACAAACCCUCCUGGGCCUGGCUUCAUGCCUCCCAGCCCACCACUUGGUGGCCCUGCCUGGCUUGCCUACCUCCAGCUUUCAUUCACAGCAGGAAGUCCUGGGGAGUUUCUGGGUGAGUGUACAGGGCAGGGACCACAUCUGGGCUCCCAAGCCUAGAGCAAGGCACCAAGUGGCUCCUCAGGCAACAUGUGCUGAGAAAGAGAAGCACACCCACACACACCCCAGGCUCAGGCUGGGCGUUUUCAUGCGUUGUCAGCCUUGCAUGCACACACAACCUGCUUCCACACACACAAGUGGGUUCAGCCUUGCACAUGUAUACAAGUACCUGUUCCCACAUGCACAUGCCUGUUCAACCUUGCACACAAAUACAAGCAUGCUGCUCUUACCACGGCUCUUAUUGCCUCCCUCUCCUUGUAAGGCUAAGGCUCCUGAAAGUGGCACCUGCCCCAGAGCCAGCAGCCCAGGUCAGUAGGCCUGAUGGUGAUUUCCCCCAGCACUUCCCGUGAGUUUGUGCUGGGCCAGCACUGGUGUCCAGUGUGGCUGAGGUGGGGUGUCAUCACCGUCUAAACCACAGUCUCAGGAGUGGAAGCACCAGGCCUGUGUGACCACUAUAUGGUGCUAAUUGGCCCAUCCCGUUUUCCCAGGUCACCAAUGGGGCAGGGGCAGGGUUAAGGCCAGAAGCCCAAUUCCAAACCCUAGUUGGGCUCUUAUUGGCCCCUGGACUCUAGCUGAGGCCAGCCACCCCUGACCCCUUCAGCUCCAUGUGGCCCAGAAAGGAGAGGCCCUCUGGCUGCAGCCCAGGGAAGGGUCCCUGGACCCUAGACUGGGGCCUUGAGCUAGUUAGCAGAACAGAGCCCCCAGCUCCAACUAUCACAGACUGGCCAUGUAGCCGGGCAACUCUGCCUAUUGUAGGGUCUUUUGUAAAAGUGUCCAGAUACGGGGCCAGGCAGAAAAGCCUGUCUAGUGUGAUGUUCUUAAGUUCUAGGCUGUGAGCGGAAGGGUCAGUCGGCUGAAGACAGUGGCCCCCAUACUAGCAAAGAAUGCAGCUGAGAGGACCUGGGGCACCCUGACCAUUGUUUCCUGGGACACAAAGAUUCCUGAGUAGAAGAGGGAGGAGUGGGUGAAGAUGGCCACAGGCACAGUGGGACAGGCAGGGGAGGGAGGUUCUGACCACACCUAGCAGCUAGUCUCUAGCAUGAAUUCAGACAGAAUACUUCGUAGUCCACUAAACUAACACCUUAAAGGGAGUACGGGGAAGGGUUGAAGGAAGAGGGAGAGAGGAAGACACAUUUCCCCCUUUUCAUAACUUAUGCAAAGCAACUGAAACUAGCAGGGCCUCAGCGAGUACUCCCAACCCCCAGGUUACAAAUGAGGAAGCGGGAGCCCAGCCGAGGAGGGAGUGGUUUCUCCAGCCACUGUGGCCUCAGGGAUGUAACCUCCAAGCAGCCUUCACACCGGACCAACCUGCCACAGGACCUUUGACUUAGUGAUCCCAGGACAGCCUCUGCCCUAGGCGGCAGUGGCCAAGGAAGAUGCAAUUAGGAUUGCUCUGCGUUCACAGCUGGAUGCUUCAGCUACAGCUCCUGGUGGAGACAAAGGCAGGCUCUGGACACCCAGCCCCCAGUCACCAUGGCCCUGGGAGGCAGCACCCUGGGUCCAUUUGAAGACAGAGGAGGGGGCCCUGGGAUGGCCAAGGCUCCUGGGCUUCAGCACUUCUGCCUAAUGGUGCUGGAGUCAAAUUCUGGCUCGCUCCACUCUGGCUGGGCACCCUCAGCCAAUGUUUCCCUCACAUUCCCAUCCAGAAAGGGCUGGGGCUGGAUGAGGCACCCACUGUAGGUUCUUUCUUGCUUUCAGAGAAGCUUUGCUAAUCUUCUCUGAUUCCAGAGGUUUGGCUGUAUACUUGAGGCUAAAUCAGGCAGGAGCUGCCUGGAGCAAGGAUCUCAGCCCUACAGGCACUCAGGGAAGUCCCCACCCAGCUCACACUGCUCAAGGGAGCUGCCAGGGAGCCAUUUUGCACUGGGGCUAAGCUGUUACUCAACUUCCUGUAACAGCUUUUGCCACCCCUAACAGACAAGCCCAUCCCCCCUCCCUAACUGUGCUUUUGAAGUCUCACAAACCAGGCAAAAUCAAGGCAAGAUUUAACAUAGACUAAUCAUAAGGCACCGUGAAGCAGUUAAAGUAAUCCAAACAAAACUAAAUCUAAAAAUCCAUAAAGCUCAGUGCUAGCAGGGUUGUGGAGAAAUUAUCAUUUGUUGCUAAUUUCUUCAGCCUUUUCUGAAGAGCAACGUGAUAACAAUUCAACGACUGGGUAGGAACAAACAGAACAGAACAACAUGAGCAGGAACUUAAAGACUGAACACUCUGUGGUGGCAUAAAUUCUUUUUGGUGCCAAGAAAAUAGCCACUGACUUUUUUAAACCAAACAUGUUCAUAAUAACCCUCUUUAUGAUGGUGACAGAGUGGAAAUAUCCGGGUGACUACAAAUAUGAAAAGGGUGAAUUGUGAUAUUAAUAGGUUGGAAUGCUAUUUAUUGAAAGAACCUAUACGGAUUAUGUACUAAGACAUAUGUAAUAAACCAAACUUCAUUAAAUGCCCAGGAUUUGCGCUGCACUUUGAUAUAUACUCUCUUUUACCGCGUAAAGCAAAUCUAAGAUUUUUUUUUCUUUUAACCUCAGGAAGAAAAAGACUCAGACAAAACCAAGAUUUUCCCAAAGUCACAGAGCUCCUAAAUGGCACAGCUGGGGAUUCGGACUCCAAAUCUCAGAGACUUUAAAGGAAAAGACUCAAGCAUCUAUCCUGUGUUUCCUGUACUAACUACAUCUCAGGGGAGCCAAACAGUAAAGGAAGCCUGGAAGACUUUGUGCUCCCUCAGCAGCCGGGAAUACUGCAUGUGGUACCUUCCCACACCGCUGAUGUCCUGCCUAGUGUGUCGGCCCCCGUGCUUCAUCUCCUGACAUACAGCACUAGGACAUCAGUCCCUGGAGUACGUAGAGCACUGGGUACCCACUGGGCUAAAGGAAACACUUACUAAUUGAGAUCACCAUUACGACUGUCUCCAGUUUUCUAAAGAAAACUCAGUAAAUGGCUAAACUUUAAAUAUUAUGGCUGACUUACGUUAAUUAAAUUUAAUUAAAGGCUCUUUAAUUAAAUACAAGAGGGCUACAUUUGGAAAUACCACACAUAAGCUCACAGUUA